rnacentral:rRNA from 1 species
GUCUACAGCCAUAUCACCCUGAAUGCACCCAGUCUCGUCUGGUCUCAGAAGCUAAGCAGGAUGGAGCCUGGUUUGUACUUGGAUAGAGAAAAUAUCUUCAGAGGAGACUGCUCAGAGACAAACAGUUUGGAGACA